CGGGUCGAGGGGCGCUGCGACGGAUGUUUCAUCCGCCACGCUCGGCCUGUCCCUGGUCGCAAGGGCGCCUCCCGCCG
rnacentral:ncRNA from 2 species